rnacentral:lncRNA from 1 species
GAACGGGGGGCAGGCGGAAGCCUCCCGCUCCGUGCCCCGUUGGUCACUACUGCCCACCAGGCACAAAGCAUCCGGUGCAGCACAAGUGUGCCCCAGGUACCUGGAGCAAUAGGACGAGCCUGGCCUCAAAAGAGGAGUGUUUGCCAUGUCCUUCAGGCUGGUUUUGUCUAGGAGGAGCUCGCGUGCCUUCUGGGAGGUGCAGCUCAGGGCAUUACUGCCCACAGGGUAGGCAACUUUUCUCAGAAUGGGGGAGAUUUAGUUCAUUUCUCUUUGGAAAUUUUGUGCACCCUGAUACAGUCAUGCUCUGACUUUGUCAGGAUAUGUUUUGCACUGAAGUAUUUCAGCAUGGAGGUGCAGAAUUCUUGCUGCAGGAUGAACUAGUAUGAAUAUUUAUUAGCAAUGAAGAACAGAGGGCAUUAUUCCCUUUCUCUUUUCUUUUUUUCUUUUCUUUUUUUUUUUUUUUUUUUUUUUUUUUUUCCCCUGGAAGGUACACGGAGGGGCACCCAGUACCCCUGCCCAGCAGGAACAUAUAGUACCAGGCUGGGAAAUGGCAGGGUGGAAGAAUGUGCUGCCUGCCCUGCAGGGACUUUCUGCACCAGUGGGACCUCCAAGCCAGUUCUGUGCCCAGUGUAAGUACACUGCACGUGCUGCAGUAGUUGUCGGUCUCGGACCCACACGAGCACAAAAGAAACCCUUCCUGUGUGGCGUUUCAGAAUCUUGCUCAUUGUAAGAAACAUCUUUCUGCACCGGAAGUGUUUGCCAACAAGGCUUCGUUCCUGGACGGUCCAGGCAAGUUUUCUCUAAACCGAGCGGUUUCCACUUGGCUCCAGAAGUGGUGCCUUUCCUCCACCUAAGAGUCUAACAAUGCAAGCCAGAUAAAUUGUCCUGUUCUUGGUCACUUUGCUGCCAUUAGUGACUCUCCUUGCUGUGUAUUUUCAUAUGCAGAGGAACUUUUCGUAUGGAACACGGUGCAAAGUCGGCCGCAGAGUGCAUCCCGUGUCCCGGAGGGUAUUACUGCCCUGAGCUUGGCACUGUUACUCCUCGGGCAUGUGGUGCUGGCAACUUCUCGGGCCAAGGUUCAACCUCCUGCUUGCCAUGCUUUGUGGGACAUUACUGUGCUAGUGAGCACACCAGCCGGGAGCUGAUGCUGCUUGCCAUGAUCUGCCCAGCGGGUCUCCUGUGCCCAGAAGGACAGGCAGUUGUUCCAGAUGCCAGUGCAAAUGCCUGCCCAAGAGGAUACUACUGUCCCCGGGGAGAUACCGGCUUGCAAGCUAAGCCUUGCCCCAAUGGGACCUAUGGUGAGCAAAGGGGUCUGAGCAGAGCUGAUGAAUGCUUACUGUGCCCUGCAGGGAAGUACUGCUAUAGAGCAGAGGUUGAGCCUUCAGGAAUUCCCCACCCUGUAAGUACAGCACAGCUUCUCCUAACUGUUUUUCCAGUGGCUGUAAUUGUGAAUGGAGCGUGCUCGAUGCAUGUCUUUCUCUCUUUCCUUUGCUUCCGC